rnacentral:rRNA from 1 species
AUUGAACGCUGGCGGCAUGCCUUACACAUGCAAGUCGAACGGCAGCACGGGUGCUUGCACCUGGUGGCGAGUGGCGGACGGGUGAGUAAUACAUCGGCACCUGUCCUGUAGUGGGGGAUAGCCCGGCGAAAGCCGGAUUAAUACCGCAUACGAUCUACGGAUGAGAGCGGGGGACCUUGCGGCCUCGCGCUAGAGGGUUCGCCGAUGGCUGAUUCGCUAGUUGGCGGGGUAGGGGCCUCCCGAGGCGAAGGUCUGUACCUCGUCUGAGAGGGCGACGAGAGACACUGAGACUGAGACACGGCCCAGAGUCCUACGUGAGGCAGAAGUGGGUAAGUUUGGACGAUGGGCGAAGUCCUGAACCAGCAAUGCAGCGUGGGUGAAGAAGGCCCGCGUGUGGUAAAGCACCUUUGUCCGGAAAGAAAGCCUUCAGCCUAAUACGAGCUUGUGAUGACGGUACCUGAAGAAGAAGCACCGGCUAACUACGUG